UCCCCCUCCAAAUUUGAUCUUUAGCUCUCUAUAUAAGCGACCCUCUCUUCAAUCUCAAUCAACAACAAUCCACUCUGAAAAACACUCACAUUUCACUUUGAUCACAAUUCAUCAUCACUCUUUGCAAUCCACUCUUCUCUCACAACCUCACUAACACACUCAAAGCUCUCAAUCCACCAUUGUUGAGUAAAACUUCACCUUGAAGUUUUUCUUCAACAAGAGCUAAACCUCUACACUCUACACUCUCUUCACUUAACAAUAACAACAAAGAACAAUCCUACAGGCUAUCCAUAGAAGAAGAAGAAGAAAAUCAUUGCAAGAAUUGAAGAUUCUAAGUUUCUUACUUGAUCACCUCUCUAGUAUUUUCUCUGCAACUUCAUAUUCAAGACCUUCAACAGCUCCCAGGGCACACCGCCUCCCUAUAGAUAGGAUGUUUCCUUUUCCCUCUUUUUUCGCUUCAAUUUUUUUUACCAGGAUGUAGAGGUUGCAGAGGGGAAUCAAAGCCCCAAGGUCAAAUUCUUUGAUUAUUGAUAAAUGCCCAAAAAUGGAUAAUAUUUACUUAUGAAAAAUAGCAUUUAUCGAAUUAAGGAAACACUUAUUCAUGAAAUUAUACACACUUUGUCAAGAAAAUGAUACUUAUUAUGAUGUGUGGUUAAUUAUUAUAGGAAUGGAUCAAAGGAAGGAAAAAGCAAAGCAAAAAUCAUGUCCUAUUUCACAACGCGAAUUCCGGUUCACUUAACGAAACCAAGUCAGAAGCAAAGCAUCCAGGUUCGCUAGCAGCGAGUAGCAACGAAGAGGCAGCGAAGGCUCGAUUCUCUAAGUGAAUUCUGGUUCGCUUAGCAAAACCAAGUCAGAGGAAAAACAUCCUAGUUGUGCAGGACUCUAAUAAAAGAAUAAGUCAGAUAGACAUUCAUCAGAUACAGACAAGUUCAGAAUGACCACUUAGAAGGUACUCAAGCAGAAGCUCUGACUCUGAUCAAAGGAAAUGUACAAAGUGUAACAAACAAGAGAUAUCAGACACUCUAAAGCGGAAGAGCACACUCUAGGAUCUGAAACUUUUACACUCUAACAUAACCAAUCAGGGAGAUAUCAAGAACCUAUGAAGAAAAGUUAGCUGUAAGCAACUAUCUGAAGAUGUACUUGCAGAACAGAAACUCGGAUAUCUGAACUUUCUGAUUCAAAAACGAUCUCCAAAAACUUAGCUAUGAAGACUUCCACUUAUGGCAAGAAUCUAAUUUUGGAAGAAAGUUAUAGCGCCCAAAACUACUUUGGAAAGAAUGCAGAGAUUAAUGACAUUAAUCAACCAUCAUUGCCAAAGAUCCUUUCAUUCAACAGUCUCCUCAUCAACUCCUAUAUAUAGGAUGAAUCACUUCACUAAAUAAACAACGGAAACACACGAGAAUACAAAAACUAAUUUCAUAUCUUUUACUCAUUCUCUUUUUCACACAAGUUACUGCUCUAAAGUGUGAACAUUUCUUUUGCUCUUACUUUGUGUAAUUUCUGCUUACCUAUAAGCACUAAGCACUACUGUAAUUCUACUUAAUUACUGAAUUCUCCUCAAGUGACUUGUGAAGUCUGUAAACUUGAUAGGGCUAAGAGAUCUUUAUCCUCUUAGACGAUCAUUGUUGUAAUAUUUCAAUAUUAGUGGAUUAAGUCCUUAUUGAAGGCGAAAUCA